UACAGAGGUCUCAAGCGUUGUUCGGAUUCAUUGGGCGUAAAGGGUGCGUAGGCGGCGCGGUAAGUCGGGUGUGAAAUCUCGGAGCUUAACUCCGAAACUGCAUUCGAUACUGCCGUGCUUGAGGACUGGAGAGGAGACUGGAAUUUACGGUGUAGCGGUGAAAUGCGUAGAUAUCGUAAGGAAGACCAGUGGCGAAGGCGGGUCUCUGGACAGUUCCUGACGCUGAGGCGCGAAAGCGUGGGGAGCGAACAGG
rnacentral:rRNA from 1 species